CAGACUGUGCUCAUGGUGGACCAGUGUUGACGAUCUAGGCAAGUGUUUUUAUGUAUACCUCUCACAGUUUUAAAUGCUGUAUUGAUAAUCAAAUUCUACAGGAGAUAUAUGUUUCCUCCAAAUACUUGAUGAUUCUGUUUUAAAUGUUUGACAAUCUCCUUAUAUUAAAAGGCUCUUCUCAUGCCGCAAAUUGGUGGACAAAAACAUAUAUUUUGAUUUGAGUUAUUUACAAAGAAUGACCAAUUUGCAAUUUGGAUGUUUAUAAAAAUCUUUGUAUAUAACAUUAAUAUUCAGUAUGUUAAUAUAUUUAGUUUACGCUAUACACUCAGGUUCAAAGUCGAGAUCGGUAUUACAUUUUAUCAUUCGGGAUCGAGAUUAAAAAUAUCAAAUAUAUCGUAAACAUGGUUUGAAUUUGAUACAGAAUUGAGAUUGAGAACAGUGAACAGUUUCAAAGAAUACAGAACAGUGAACACUUAAUGACUUACUUUUUGCAGAAAAAUGUCGCAGCCUUAUAAUGUAAGAGAAUCAUAUUCUGGACAUGAUGUCCAAGAUCGGUUAAAGAAGAUUGGGAUAAUUUCCAUAAGUGAAGAGGAUGUCAGUGGUUGGAUUUUCAGAGGAGUGGAUUUAACUCAAAUUCAACUUGAAGGGAAAACAGAACCGCCAGCUCAUUGUUAAGCUGAGUGAAUUCAAGGGAGUAACUUCAAAGAGUGACAAACCACCAAGAAUAGCUUUUCACUGGGGACCAAGGAAUAUGCAAUGCAUAUAUCUACUUCUUGCAGGAGACAUAAAAAUGGAAGUCCCCAACAGAUUUUAUUAAGAGGCAUUGUCAUUGCUCAUUUUUUGUUACUGUGUUUGAGACUUGCCUGCCCAAAACAAUUUCAACUUCUUGGAUUCCUCCAACUAUAAUAUUGAAGACAAGAAAAAUAAGUUUGUCAUGAGUCAAAAUUAUUUUGAAAUUUGUGAACAUCUUUGAGGAUUGUUUUCCGGGAAUUAAGUUAAGGACAUGCAUGACAUUUCCUUUAGAAUAAUUUUUUUUAUCUCAAUGCAAGUGAAUUACAUGUGAUGUUUGUUUAUACAAGUUUCAUUAAAUCUGGUUUUUGCUCAGUUUCAAGGAAAUCUUUAAAUGUAUAUAAGGAAAUUUGAUUGAUAGAAUAAUAUACUAGUAUAAAUUUCAUAAGUUUAUAUUUUAUCAGAUGCCAUUAUUUUAAUUCAGCAGAGAAUAUACAAGUAUUUUGAAUGUCUUGAACCUUUUUAUAGUACAUUUAAGUCCAUAGUACUGCACAAAGAUGAAAACAAGUACAAAUUAACAUACCUAACACAAUACCUUUUGUGAAGUCGAGCACAUGUUUUGGGAUGUGAAGCUGGACACAUGAAACUUAUGGUAUUGCACAUACAUUACUAUUCAAUGCUCUUUUUUUGCAUUAAGUCCAGCACAUAUGUUUAUGAUUUUUUACACACAUGAACACAUUACAUUUAGAUGUACUUUUAUUUCUGUGAGACGUUGAGCACAUUUGUUCAUGAUUUUUGACAUAUGGAACACACCCCUUUUUGAUGUAGAGUAUAUUCUGUUUGAAGUCAUGGCUUUUCAUAUAAAUGCACACCGAUUUGCUCUUUGUAUUACCUUAAUUUCUGUGUGAAGUUGUCAGAGCACACAUGUUCAUGCUUUUUCACAUACAUCGACACAAUAUACCUUAAUUUCUAUGUGAUAUAAGUUGAACACACAUGUUCAUGUACUAUGGCUUUUAUAGUAAAUAUCGCUGAUAUGCUUUAAAAUGUUUGAUAUAUGAUUAUGUGUAUUGAUCAAUAAAAUUUAUAAGCUUC